rnacentral:lncRNA from 1 species
UUCAUUAUGAGGGCGUUGGAUUUUUCUACUACAAAAGGCAGUGAAAUUACUAUUGUUAGACACACAAAAACAAAUACUUGAAAAACAAUCUCUAUUCACUAUAUAUCAUCGUCUUUUAUAUUUUUGGCAAUUGAUAAGGGUUUGUUUUUUUCUUUUCUUGCGAUUGUGCCCAUAGAAGGAGAUUCGAGUACGAUAUAUAAGAAUUUUAUCAUAGAGUCAUGCAAUGUCGAAAGUACCGGCACGAAAGGGAUGCCACAUGACUUUAUGGCAGCGUUUAUUGCGACUCUCUUGUGCUAGCGUUUCUAGCUCCAUUCUCAUAUUUAUGUUAUUUUAUUCAUGCUUGUAGUUGAUAUUUUAUUACAUAAAUCACAUAAUUUUCAUAAUAGAUCACACAUGUAAUACCUCCACCUAGCACUCCACUAUAUAGACUCUAGUCAUAUCGUCCUUUUUACGAGGUGACGAAGCUCGAC